rnacentral:rRNA from 1 species
AGAGUUUGAUCAUGGCUCAGAUUGAACGCUGGCGGCAGGUCUAACACAUGCAAGUCGAACGGUAACAGGAAGAAGCUUGCUUCUUUGCUGACGAGUGGCGGACGGGUGAGUAAUGUCUGGGAAACUGCCUGAUGGAGGGGGAUAACUACUGGAAACGGUAGCUAAUACCGCAUAACGUCGCAAGACCAAAGAGGGGGACCUUCGGGCCUCUUGCCAUCGGAUGUGCCCAGAUGGGAUUAGCUAGUAGGUGGGGUAACGGCUCACCUAGGCGACGAUCCCUAGCUGGUCUGAGAGGAUGACCAGCCACACUGGAACUGAGACACGGUCCAGACUCCUACGGGAGGCAGCAGUGGGGAAUAUUGCACAAUGGGCGCAAGCCUGAUGCAGCCAUGCCGCGUGUAUGAAGAAGGCCUUCGGGUUGUAAAGUACUUUCAGCGGGGAGGAAGGGAGUAAAGUUAAUACCUUUGCUCAUUGACGUUACCCGCAGAAGAAGCACCGGCUAACUCCGUGCCAGCAGCCGCGGUAAUACGGAGGGUGCAAGCGUUAAUCGGAAUUACUGGGCGUAAAGCGCACGCAGGCGGUUUGUUAAGUCAGAUGUGAAAUCCCCGGGCUCAACCUGGGAACUGCAUCUGAUACUGGCAAGCUUGAGUCUCGUAGAGGGGGGUAGAAUUCCAGGUGUAGCGGUGAAAUGCGUAGAGAUCUGGAGGAAUACCGGUGGCGAAGGCGGCCCCCUGGACGAAGACUGACGCUCAGGUGCGAAAGCGUGGGGAGCAAACAGGAUUAGAUACCCUGGUAGUCCACGCCGUAAACGAUGUCGACUUGGAGGUUGUGCCCUUGAGGCGUGGCUUCCGGAGCUAACGCGUUAAGUCGACCGCCUGGGGAGUACGGCCGCAAGGUUAAAACUCAAAUGAAUUGACGGGGGCCCGCACAAGCGGUGGAGCAUGUGGUUUAAUUCGAUGCAACGCGAAGAACCUUACCUGGUCUUGACAUCCACGGAAGUUUUCAGAGAUGAGAAUGUGCCUUCGGGAACCGUGAGACAGGUGCUGCAUGGCUGUCGUCAGCUCGUGUUGUGAAAUGUUGGGUUAAGUCCCGCAACGAGCGCAACCCUUAUCCUUUGUUGCCAGCGGUNCUUCUCCCAAACCAAGGUAUGUGAGAAGACCAGCUACAUCCUUUCCACUCAAAUUGGUAAGCGUAUUGUCCAGCGGUUGUUUACCUGCCAGCGCAUUAAGCAUUGUCGUGGCAAAGUUCGGAUCAUUCCCCAGUGCCGCCGCCAGUUCGUUCAGUGUAUCCAGUGCAGCAGGUGCAGAACCCACCAUUCCUGCAAUCGCCGAUUUCACAAAAGCCGUAGUGGCAAUCUGUGUAUUGUUGACCGACUGCGCCGCCGUGGGGGCUGUUGGCGUUCCGGUGAGUGCCGGACUCGACAACGGUGCUUUAAGUGCCAGCGCAUUGUUAAUGGUGGUACUGAAAUUCGGAUCAUUGUUAAUGGCUGCGGCUAUUUCUUUCAGCGUGUCCAGCGUGGCU